rnacentral:rRNA from 1 species
CGGGUGAGUAACACGUGGAUAACCUACCUAUAAGACUGGGAUAACUUCGGGAAACCGGAGCUAAUACCGGAUAAUAUAUUGAACCGCAUGGUUCAAUAGUGAAAGACGGUUUUGCUGUCACUUAUAGAUGGAUCCGCGCCGCAUUAGCUAGUUGGUAAGGUAACGGCUUACCAAGGCAGCGAUGCGUAGCCGACCUGAGAGGGUGAUCGGCCACACUGGAACUGAGACACGGUCCAGACUCCUACGGGAGGCAGCAGC